UGGGGAAUAUUGGACAAUGGGCGCAAGCCUGAUCCAGCAAUGCCGCGUGGGUGAAGAAGGUCUUCGGAUUGUAAAGCCCUUUCGGCGGGGACGAUGAUGACGGUACCCGCAGAAGAAGCCCCGGCUAACUUCGUGCCAGCAGCCGCGGUAAUACGAAGGGGGCUAGCGUUGCUCGGAAUUACUGGGCGUAAAGGGCGCGUAGGCGGCCUGCUUAGUCGGACGUGAAAUUCCCGGGCUCAACCUGGGGACUGCGUUCGAUACGGGUGGGCUUGAGGGCAGGAGAGGCUCGCGGAAUUCCCAGUGUAGAGGUGAAAUUCGUAGAUAUUGGGAAGAACACUGGUGGCGAAGGCGGCGAGCUGGCCUGUUACUGACGCUGAGGCGCGACAGCGUGGGGAGCAAACAGGAUUAGAUACCCUGGUAGUCCACGCCGUAAACGAUGUGCGCUGGAUGUUGGGGCCCCUAGGGCUUCAGUGUCGUAGCCAACGCGGUAAGCGCACCGCCUGGGGAGUACGGCCGCAAGGUU
rnacentral:rRNA from 1 species